UGGCACUUCCGCCAUCAAGAGUGGUUGCGACGGCGCAGUUAUCAAAAUGAAUGAUUCCAGAUUAAAAUACAACCCGACUGAAACAUGCCCCAAACCCGAACUAAAAGUGCGAGCUCUUCCUCCGUGGCAAAGUUCGACAAUGCAUUAUCCCGCACGCACCAACUAUCGAUUUAAAGCGCCAAGUAUUAGCAGAGCAAGACAGCGUGGCAAGACGUCGGAAAGACAACAAUCCACAACACUUCCUGGUUCCGCAGUUAAUAAUAUAAACUAACGGCUAAGGCGCAAGCAGUCAAAAUAGCGCUUUAGUAACAGACGCGUCCUGCAAAUGAAAUUCCACUGGGUCACAAUUCUCCAAGUAUUAUGUUGCAAAGACACAAUGUAUAAGAAUUGUUAAAAAUGAUAAUUGGAUUUUAUUAUUUCCCCCUCAUCAAAAGUCAUCAGGAAGAGCUCUUCUCGCCAUGCAGUUCUGUGUUACAAGUCUAGCUGAAUGAAUGAAGUACAUUUCAGGUACUUCCACAAACCAGGUUUGUGAUGGCUUGUUAAUCUCAAGCGCCAAAAAUUUCCUGGUGAUACCUGUUGCGCUAAAAUGCAGUUAUUCUGCUCCUACCAAACAAGAACAAACGUAACUUAUUGUUAACGUGGCUCUCCGGCCCACGACGUCCACUUUCUGCCAAUCCAGGACGAUUAAAAUGUCAUUGUGCCGCUACGAAUGGGUAUUUGCAGAAUCGAUUUCCAAGCCAAUCUACCCUCUGUUCAUUUCCAUUAAUUAACUCAACCAAAAUAGAAACUUUCUUUAGAAGAACGAUCUUUCACUGAAAGUUGAGUUGAAGAUGGGCGUUUUAAAGUCCAGUGGACGUGAAUGCCGUUGCAUAUCCUUUAAUUCUUGUGCCUAGUACAUGCCAUUGGCACUAGAACUUCAGAUCACAGCUAAAUAAACAACUGAUUCAUGCAAGAUACGGAAGUGGCAAAAUUGAUCUCUCCUCUGACCCUGCAGAUGAAAAAUAAUUCAGAAUGUCAUUUCACCAAUAAUGUACCUACAACAUCCAAUACAUGUUAUGUAUUAAUGAUUUAUUUAAUAACCAAAAUCAGAGAUUCAAUGUGAUCAUGGCUGAUCAUCCACAA